CCUACGUGAGGCAGCAGUGAGGAAUAUUGGUCAAUGGGCGCGAGCCUGAACCAGCCAAGUAGCGUGAAGGAUGACUGCCCUACGGGUUGUAAACUUCGUUUAUAAAGGAAUAAAGUGAGGCACGUGUGCCUUUUUGUAUGUACUUUAUGAAUAAGGAUCGGCUAACUCCGUGCCAGCAGCCGCGGUAAUACGGAGGAUCCGAGCGUUAUCCGGAUUUAUUGGGUUUAAAGGGAGCGUAGAUGGGUUGUUAAGUCAGUUGUGAAAGUUUGCGGCUCAAACGUAAAAUUGCAAUUGAUACUGGCAGUCUUGAGUACAGUUGAGGUAGGCGGAAUUCGUGGUGUAGCGGUGAAAUGCUUAGAUAUCACGAAGAACUCCGAUUGCGAAGGCAGCUUACUAAACUGCCACUGACAUUGAUGCUCGAAAGUGUGGGUAUCAAACAGGAUUAGAUACCCUUGUAGUC
rnacentral:rRNA from 1 species